AAUGAUAUUUUUUAAAUAUUUAUAUUUAAAAAAUAAUAUUUUAUAUUUUAAAAAUAAUAUUUUAUUAAUUUCGAGUCGGAUUGAAUCAGGUACGAUUUAUAUAAUAUCGGAUUAAAUUCAAAUAUAAAAAAAUUUAAAAAAAAUUUAGAUAAGAUCGAAUUCAAAUUUAAUAACACAUAAAAUCGAAUUAAGUUCGAAACGAAUAAAAUUCGUUCCGAACCCGACCCAAUGACAACUUUAGUAAUAGAUUACAUGGUUGAAAUUUUAGACUUUUAAAAAAAUACAUUUAAUGUAUCAUAUUUUUAUCAAAUUAAAUCGAAUAAAAAAAUAUAAUAAUAAUAAUAAUAAUAAUUGUGUUUACACGGUACGGCAACGAGAAAAUAAAUCGGGUAACAAUACUGUCAGGAUCUUACAUUCAAAUGAAUAAAUAAAUAUAUAAAACAGCCAAAAAAUGAAAAAAUCCAUCGGACGUCAUUUUAUCGAUCUAUUUGUUUUUCUCAUUCGUCUUACCGGAACCCUGGCCGCCACGGCACCUUUCGUUAGGGUGGCAUCCUCUCUGGUAGGUGGAAGCAGGCGGUGGGCAGUUCUCGGGGUGACUAGGGCUGCAUCCCGGAGCCAUACUCUUUCCGAUGGAUCCAUAUCCGAGCGAUGAAGCCUCUUGGGAACCCGCUGCAAGGUGCGCCAAAAGCACCAAAAGCGCCAGCAGAGAUAUAAAGAAAAAAAUUACUCCUUUAAUCAUAGACAUUAAAGGCAGACCGUUCGUGAGAGGCAGGAGACGCUGGAGAUAGAUGAAAUCAAAUCAAAUUAAGUAUUUAUAGAUUGAAAAUAAUUAAUCUAGAACAAUAUUAGAAUGAUCUUAGCCUAUCUAGAAGCAUAUGGUAGCCGUCUAAAUUAGAGACUUCUAUAUAGAUUUAGCUUUUUAAAUAUCAUUUACUAAAAAAGAUGGCAUAAAUUUAUUUAAUUAAAUCUUAAAUUUAAGUAACUAAUCACUUUUUCCUCUAUAUAAAAAGUAUUAAAAUAUCUUUAAAAAAAAGUAUUAAACUAAAAUAUUUUUCUAGCUUGAUGAUAUAAUUUCCACAUUUUUUCUUUAAAUUUAUUUUGAUAAAAAAAAAAAAAAAAGGAAUUUGAUCACCAUGCUUUCAAUAGAGAGACUACAAAAUAGCAUUGGACUCUGAUCACUAUGAUUACUGUAUUUUUGGACUUUUAUUUCAGGGAUGAGAUGACAGUAUUGCUCUAUCUUUUAUUAAUGAAAAUUUAUUAUUGGGUGAGAAAAAAAAAAAAAGAGAUUAAAAAUUUUAAAUUUGUUAGAUGUUAUAUUUUAAAAGUAAUUGUAUGAAUUAAUUAAAUUAAAUUAUAUAUUUAUUAUGUAUUUUUUUUUAUUUUUUUUGCAUUGAUUAGAUAUUGCUUUGACAAAAAUUUUCAACUAUAAUUGGUCCAACUUAACAGAAUAAUUUAAAUAAAUGAGAAAUUAAUAAUAAUGAUUUGGGAUCCGGUGGGUUGUGAUUAUUGAUUCUUUGAGUUGUAAAUCAAUACUACAUUUAAUUUUCAAAUACUUAAUUAUUUGCUUUUGAGUGAUUUUUGGAUCUUUAAGUUUAAACAUACCAUAUGGCAGCCUGUCAAAUUGUGAAUAAUGCACUUGCCUUUUCUUUUUAAUUUUUUAAAAAUUUCAAAUAUUUUAACGUUUUUGUUAUUUAUUUUUUAAAAUAAUAUUUCAAUUGGGGAACUUACAUGUUUUAUUUUAUCUUGGAAUACAGACAAAACCCUCUAAUGUAAGAGUAAUAAAAGUCAAAUGCUUUUGGCUGGUCUGAAAGUAUUAGUAACAACAAACCAUGUGCUAACACGUGAAUCCAUUCCGUAAAUCACUAAAGAUUACUAUAAACAGUAAACAUGACUAUACAGAUAAUUUUUUCUGAGAUAUUUGGUUACAGAAUAUAUGUAAAUGGUUUGAUAAUUACAAGGUUUGAUUGUGACAAAAAUUAAAGCACACGUUAAGCAUUGACUUAAGACUUAUUGACCAGCUGAAACCAAUGGAAAAAGGUAUCACUGUAAAUUAUCUGGAGUUCCUGAAUAGAAAAAUAAUUUCAGUCAACAAAAUUUAAUAUUCCUUCUUACAACUGGUUUCUUCAAUAAUCAAAGUUGAAAACAUGGGAUCAUGAGAAGAAGGUUAAAAGAUUAAUAAAUAAAAUUUCUAAGGGAGGUGUUUCUUCAGCCAAGUAUAUGAAGUAAACUGUACAGUACUGGCUUGUGAUGAAACCAUAGCUAUCAGGGACGUUGGAAAGAAGAACCCAUUGAACCGGAAUCAGGUCUUCAACUUAGGAAAAAGAACCCAUUGAACCAGAAUCAUGUGUUCAACUUAGGAAUCAGGAGGAUUAAGUUAAACCUUAGUAAAUCAAAGUUGCAGAGAUGCAAAAAUGGAUGGAAAUUCAAAAUUAUAUAUCACAGGUAGAGAUUUGUGUUGAAAACUGGUUACAUUUCCAAGUUCUUGUGAUGAGUAAAUGAUUCAAGAGCUAUCGUAUGUUUUCAUGAAAGUUAGAGGCUAUUAAGCCAUCAGGGUUGUUGAGGAAGCAGAAUUACAUAAAAGAAAAACAAAAACCUCACAGAAAACAAUAAGAGCUAAAAACAAAAAAUACAUCAUAGAGAUACAAGAGAAUAAAGCUGAAAGGACAAACUCCAAUGAGUUUGGAUAGCUUUUUAUUAACUUUUUGUUUAACAAAAAUUUUUUAUUAACUUUUUGUUUUUUAAAAAGAAAAAGCAACACAAAACAAAAACACUGCAAUUACAUGCACAAAGGAGAGGUUAGAGAAAUUAACUUACACUGUUGUUCUUGGCAUAAUCUUUGUGAGAAGGAGCUUGAGUUCCCAUGUCUGAAACACAGCAAAAACUACAAAGCAAGGAGGGAAAGGAGAUCAAAACCAAAAGAAAUUGAAACUUGGAAAUUUCCCACUGGUUUGGUUAGUAUUUAUAAAGGAGAAAUCCCAGUCCAAUAGUUAAAAAAAGGAGAAAAAAGUGGCUACAAGAGUUCUGGAAACUGACGUUUUUGGUGGUUUUGUUUGAUUCAAAAAGUCUUUAUGCAGACAAAGAACUGUUAAUAAAUUCAACUAACCAAUUUUUAUUCAUUGGAUUAUUAGCUGGUGCAAGGUCUUUGAAGAAAAUUCCACGAACCUUGAGACCAC
rnacentral:lncRNA from 1 species